rnacentral:rRNA from 1 species
UACAGGGAGGUGCAGCUGUGUUCGGAAUGACUGGGCGUAAAGGGCGCGUAGGCGGUUCAUACAGUCAGAUGUGAAAUUCCCGGGCUUAACCUGGGGGGCUGCAUUUGAUACGUGUGGGCUUGAGUUCGGAAGAGGGUCGUGGAAUUCCCAGUGUAGAGGUGAAAUUCGUAGAUAUUGGGAAGAACACCGGUGGCGAAGGCGGCGACCUGGUCCGACACUGACGCUGAGGCGCGAAAGCGUGGGGGAGCAAACAGG